CAUAUGACUGCCAGUAUAUUUCUGUUGAAGUGUACUGAUAUAAGACACAAAAUGCAAACUAAAAAUACCCCCUGGAAAAUGUUUUAACAGAAUGUGUUCAGGGCUGUCUGACUACAUGGCAGGUGUUGAGGUUGGAUGUGAGCUAAUAAAAAGCAAAAAAGUUUUUUCAUUACAGAGGAUUGAACCCAGGGGCCCUCUAGUACUGAGCUACAUCCCUAGGAGUUCUCCUUCUCUCUCUCUCUCUUUUUUUUUGAGACAAGGAGUUGGUCCAAUAAAAUAAAUAAAUAAUUUUUAAAAAAGGAAAUAGGAGGACCUAGGAAUGGUGUAACACUAGAAUGAUCCUCAGUUGACAAAGGUGCAUCAUUGAGAUUGUUUCCCUGCCUGUGAACAUCAAGAACCAAAAAUACAGAAUGCUUCAUGAUUUUGCAUGCCAUGUUGCACAGGUGCCAUACAUAUCUUCUCCAUAUUGUUUCAGUUUCAGUAUAUGUGCUGCUGAAGUAUUUUUUUUUUCUUUUAGUAGGAUUUCAGUAAGUUGCCCAGGCUGACCUCAAACUUGCUGUCCUCCAGUCUCAACCUCCUGAAUAGCUGGGAUGCCACCACGCCCAGCCACAAAAAUCUUUUUUUAUCUCUUUAUUUUCAGUUUUAGAUAUACAGGAAUUCCUUGUUCUAUUUUUAUAUAUCUUACCCCUACUAUUCAAAUUAUUAACAUUUUACGCACAAUAUAGUUAUCUAAAUCACUAAUACACUUAUACUGAUACAGUACUAUUAGUUAAUAUUUAAACCUUGUUCAGAUUUUUUCAAUUGUCCUACUAAUAUCCUUAUGCUAGUGCAGGCUUCAACACAGGAUCCCACAGUGCACUUAGCUCUGUGAGCACUCUACCGCUGAGAGGUAGAGAGAAAAUGGUCACAUGGGUAACUUAAAGCCAUUUGCCUUGUACUCACAGAAAGCUAAUGGGGCUAUUAUCAACAUAGCAGAUUGUGCUUUGUGAGCACAAUCCCCUUAGUCUCCUUUCAUCUGUAACUGUUUCUCAGUUUUUGUCUCUAAUGACCUUGACAGUUUUGAAGAGUUCUGUUCUGUUAAGUGCAUAGUACAUCUUUCAGUUUGGGUUUUUCUGAUGCUUUUUCAUGAUUAAAUUCAUUUUAUUUGUCUUUGGCACAGAUACAGCAGAAUUAAUGAUGUAGAUGGCAAUGUGUCCCCUUUUGGUAGGGUUAAUUUGAUCACUUGAUUAAGGUAAUGUUGCCCAGGUUUCACCAUUUGAAUAUGUCCUAAAGACAGUAUAUUCCAGGGGCUGGGUUGUGGCUCAGUGGCAGAGAGCUUACCUCGCACAUGUGAGGCACUGGGUUCGAUCCUCAGCACUACAUAAAAUGAAUAAAUAAAAUAAAGUUAGUGUGUUCAUUUACAACUAAACUUAAAAAAAGUAUAUUCCAGGUAGGAGUAUUGGCCUGUGUAAAAUCAGGGAGUAGGAAAAAGUAUGAAUUUUGUAAGGAAUUAUUAAUAUUAAUAAUCUCAUGUCACUGGAGGAUACUUUGUAUAUGGAAAGUAAGAGACAGGUCAUCAAGGGAUACAGAUACACUACCAGGAGGUUUGAAGUUUGAUAAAAUUGGUAGGUAACUCUUGUGAGGUUUGAAGUAAGAAAUAGUGUGAUUGGUUAUAGUUCAGAGAAUGAGAUAGAGGCUGGGAGAGGGUUUAGCAGGUAGAACUGUCACUGCUUGGUGACAUGACAUUCGUGAUGGCGGUAAUGAAAGAAAGUUGAUGAAGACCACUCGGUUUCUGCCCUGAGAAUCUAGGUGGUCGCUGUUAACCAAGCCCAAAGGGGCCUCAUAACACAUGGCACCACUCUCCACCUAGUGGUGUAAGUCACAAGUCUGGGUGUCAUUUUUGACUCCUCCCUCCCCCUUGCUCCCCUUGUCAAGAUAUGUGGCUUCUGUGUCCAAAACUUAUUGUAAAUUCAUCUACUCUUUUUCAGCUCAUGGCUACUACUGGUCCCAUUUUAAUGGUGGUGGCCGUUUUUUAACUCGUCUUCCUGUUUCCAGGCUUAGUCUCUCAUUCUUUGGCAUAAAUCAGCAUAAUGUGAUUCAAACACAAAAUUAGUCUCUUUAUUCCUUUCUUAAAGCUCUGCAUGGGCUUCCCGUAUCUUAAGGAUAUGUUCAGACUCUUAUUGUGGUCUGUGUGAUUCUCCACAUUUGACACUUGCCUACCUGAAUGGAAUUUUUUUUUUUUAAAGUUCUAUGACCUACCUCUUUGACCCAUUUACCUAUUCUCCCUGCUUCCCUAUAAGAUUAUAAGCAUGGUACAGGUAGGGACCAUGACUGUAUUAUUGGCUGGUACACCCCAGGACCCACCACUAUAAAUAUUUCUGGAUGUAGGAAUAAGUAAAAGAGAAGAAAGAUCAGAAUUGUAGAGUUUAUUUUUAGAUAUAUGGCUUUAAGUUACCCAUGUGACCAUUUUCUCAGUCCAUAUAUCCUUUUGGUGGUUAUGGGUGUGUAACAUGAGCUCAAGAAAAGUUUGGUUGGCUUUAAUAGCUCUGAGGGACCAUAGGACACAGGUGAUAAUUGAAGCUGUGGAAGCAAAUAAAGUUGAGAUUGAAACACUUUACUUUGAUCCACAGUAAAAAAUACCUUUCAAUUCUCGACCAGUACAUAUCUGGCACAUCAUAGCUCAUACAUUUGUAUAUUUAUAAAACAAAUUACACAAUUAUAUGCCUUUCUUCAUGUAAUUUACUUUGAUGUUUCCUAUUAUCUUUCUUUUUUUUAGUGCAGAUUUUUGGUGCCACUAAACUGUUUUCAUGAUUCACUACUGUGCUAUGACCCCUGGUAUUUCCCUAUAUAAUAGAGAAUGAACUUCUUAACCUUAGGAAUGCGCAGAGGAGGAGCCUAUAGAAGCAUGGACAGGAAGUCAGAAGGAAGAACUUACAUAUCACAUGUGGGAAAUCAGAAAGCAUUGUUUCCUCACUAAGGCUUCACACCUUAGUAACAUUUGUUUCCAGACAAAAAUCACUUUUGCCCAGAAACUUAUGUGAUCCUCAGUUUUCUGGAGAAUGAGGUCAUCUGAUCCCAGUACAGCCACUCAAGGACUGAAGCUUCAGUUUGCUCAUCUGUGAAAGAGAAACUCCAUACCCUACUACCAAAGCAACCUGGUUGUACAGCCCAGAAAUCUGGUUCAUUUUGAAGUUUUCCAAGUACAAUAGGAAUACUUUCUAGUAUUUUCAGUGUGUAAAAAUAGCGAAAGGAUGGGGCCAGGGUUGUGGCUCAGUGGUAGAGCACUUGCCUAGCAUGUGUGAGGCACUGGGUUCAAUCCCUGGCACCACAUAAAGAUAAAUAGAUAAAUGUGUUGUGUCCAUCUACAAUUAAAAAAAAAAUUUUAAAUAGCAAAAGGAUGAUUGAAGAGGGGUGUGUUGAGUGGACAAAGCAUUGGUCUGCAGAUUUAUGCAGCUCUUGAAACUGUUUAAACUUCAUGAUUCCCAACUUAUUCCUCUAACACUUGUCUCUAGAGCCUGCUGGUGAAAGACAUAGAUGAUAUGUAUAUCUGCUGUGACCUCCUAAAAAUAACUGCACUUGAACUUGCUGACAUAAAUAAAUUUCAACUUUUUUAGAAUGUUGAAUUAACAUUGUUUAAUAAAUUGUCACUUUAAAGGUUGGGGAUGUAGCCCAGUGGUAGAACACUUACCUAGCAUACAUGAGGUGCCUGGUGUUGGUCCCCGGAAUUUCAAAAGAAAGGAACAAUUUCAGUCUUCAAAGUAAUUAAUAAAGAAAUCUGUGUAAUCUGGUAUUUACUUUAUUAAGCCUCUUUGAAGUACUUUCCUGUUGUAAUCUUGUGCCCAGUGGUAGGUGGCUGGGACAAAAUAAUUAAGACCAUAGAGUAAAAGUUAUUAAAGGUUGAGUUUAUGUGGUUUUCCAAGCAUAUCUUUGUUAGUAGUGGCGGGAACUGGUACUGCUCUGGGGAGAACAAAUGAUGGAAUGAGCACAGUCAGCAGCACAAUGCAGACAGAUUGGUGAUGCUAAUUCUGCCACUGCAAGGACAUCAGCUAAGGGAAUUACUUUGUGGCAUAUAUGUUCACUGUAGAUUUGUAACCAAGAUGCCAUUCAGUUCUAUUAUCAUUAGACAGGUAUUUUUUGGCACUCAAUUGUGAUUGCCCUGAGGGACCAGGAGAAGGACUAGGGAACAUGAAACCAGACCCCUUUGGGAGGAUGACUGAUUAAUUUGGGCAUCUUUAUUAAGAUUUUAUUUAGAGGUAUUUGUGAUAACUCACACCUGUGAUCCUGGCUACUUGAAAGACUGAGUCAGGAGGAUCAAAAGUUUGAGGCCAGCCAUGGCAACUUAGAGAGCCCCUUUCUCUAAAUAUAUAGGGGAUAUAACUCGGUGGUAGAGUACUUGCCUAGCUUGGCCAAGGCCUAGGGUUUGGUCCCUAGUACUUCAAUUUAAAAUAAACAAAAAACUUGAUUCUAGCCCAGUUCUAAAAGAGAUUUUAUUUUAUUUUAUUUAUUUAUUUAUUUAUUUUGAGACAGGUCUAAGUUGCUUAGGGCCUCACUAAAUUGCUGAGGCUGGCUUUCGAGUUUGCCUUCCUCCUGCCUUAGCCUCCCCAACCAAUGAGAUUACAGGUAUGCACCACCACACCCACCUGGCUAAUUCUUUGCAAUGGUAGACUUGGUAGACUUUCUACACUGUUUGAUAAACAAUAUAAAGGACUAAGGGCUGGACAUGGUGGCACACACCUAUAAUCCCAGAUACUGGGGAGACUAAUGCAAUAGGAUUACAAAUUUGCAGCCAGCCUGGGCAAUUUAAUGAGACUCUGUCUCAAAGUUUAAAAAGUGCUGGGGAUAUACUCAGUGGCAGAGUGCGUGCCAAGCAUUUGUGAGGUCCCCAAUACUGUAAAACAAAUCAUACAAACAAACAAAAAGGACUGAAAAGUUUUAGUCCUAAGAGACUGGGAACGGUAACUGAAAUAAGUCACAGCAUAAAUUCUUUCCCUGAUCACCUCUUAAGAACUGUUGCAUUCUGAGAGGUGAGGCUUAUGGCUUAUGGCCAGGAGAGAGCUGGCAGGCUGCAGAACCACUAGCUUAUAUAUAGUGGCCAUCUUCCAUGUCCAAUUAAGAAUACUGCCUCUUCUGGAUACAUUUGUUAGCAUUAAGUUGAUGUGAGCAGGCUGACUAAAUUCAUUUAUCCCCUCCACAAAUGAAUGAAAUACUGAACUCUAGAAUGGAUAUUAGUAUUUCCUUGCUAAGAAGACUCUUAGUAGUUUCUUGGUAGCUGAGGCAGGAAGAUUGCAAGUUCAAGGCCAGACUAGGUAACUUAGAC
rnacentral:snRNA from 1 species